rnacentral:rRNA from 1 species
GAGUUUGAUCUUGGCUCAGAACGAACGCUGGCGGCAUGCCUAACACAUGCAAGUCGAACGAAGGCUUCGGCCUUAGUGGCGCACGGGUGCGUAACGCGUGGGAAUCUGCCCUUGGGUUCGGAAUAACAGGAAGAAAUUCCUGCUAAUACCGGAUGAUGACGUAAGUCCAAAGAUUUAUCGCCCAAGGAUGAGCCCGCGUAGGAUUAGCUAGUUGGUGAGGUAAAAGCUCACCAAGGCGACGAUCCUUAGCUGGUCUGAGAGGAUGAUCAGCCACACUGGGACUGAGACACGGCCCAGGACUCCUACGGGAGGCAGCAGUGGGGAAUAUUGGACAAUGGGCGAAAGCCUGAUCCAGCAAUGCCGCGUGAGUGAUGAAGGCCUUAGGGUUGUAAAGCUCUUUACCCGGGAUGAUAAUGACAGUACCGGAGAAUAAGCUCCGGCUAACUCCGUGCCAGCCGCCGCCGUAAC